AGAGUUUGAUCCUGGCUCAGGAUGAACGCUGGCGGCGUGCCUAAUACAUGCAAGUCGAGCGAACGGACGAGAAGCUUGCUUCUCUGAUGUUAGCGGCGGACGGGUGAGUAACACGUGGAUAACCUACCUAUAAGACUGGGAUAACUUCGGGAAACCGGAGCUAAUACCGGAUAAUAUUUUGAACCGCAUGGUUCAAAAGUGAAAGACGGUCUUGCUGUCACUUAUAGAUGGAUCCGCGCUGCAUUAGCUAGUUGGUAAGGUAACGGCUUACCAAGGCAACGAUGCAUAGCCGACCUGAGAGGGUGAUCGGCCACACUGGAACUGAGACACGGUCCAGACUCCUACGGGAGGCAGCAGUAGGGAAUCUUCCGCAAUGGGCGAAAGCCUGACGGAGCAACGCCGCGUGAGUGAUGAAGGUCUUCGGAUCGUAAAACUCUGUUAUUAGGGAAGAACAUAUGUGUAAGUAACUGUGCACAUCUUGACGGUACCUAAUCAGAAAGCCACGGCUAACUACGUGCCAGCAGCCGCGGUAAUACGUAGGUGGCAAGCGUUAUCCGGAAUUAUUGGGCGUAAAGCGCGCGUAGGCGGUUUUUUAAGUCUGAUGUGAAAGCCCACGGCUCAACCGUGGAGGGUCAUUGGAAACUGGAAAACUUGAGUGCAGAAGAGGAAAGUGGAAUUCCAUGUGUAGCGGUGAAAUGCGCAGAGAUAUGGAGGAACACCAGUGGCGAAGGCGACUUUCUGGUCUGUAACUGACGCUGAUGUGCGAAAGCGUGGGGAUCAAACAGGAUUAGAUACCCUGGUAGUCCACGCCGUAAACGAUGAGUGCUAAGUGUUAGGGGGUUUCCGCCCCUUAGUGCUGCAGCUAACGCAUUAAGCACUCCGCCUGGGGAGUACGACCGCAAGGUUGAAACUCAAAGGAAUUGACGGGGACCCGCACAAGCGGUGGAGCAUGUGGUUUAAUUCGAAGCAACGCGAAGAACCUUACCAAAUCUUGACAUCCUUUGACAACUCUAGAGAUAGAGCCUUCCCCUUCGGGGGACAAAGUGACAGGUGGUGCAUGGUUGUCGUCAGCUCGUGUCGUGAGAUGUUGGGUUAAGUCCCGCAACGAGCGCAACCCUUAAGCUUAGUUGCCAUCAUUAAGUUGGGCACUCUAAGUUGACUGCCGGUGACAAACCGGAGGAAGGUGGGGAUGACGUCAAAUCAUCAUGCCCCUUAUGAUUUGGGCUACACACGUGCUACAAUGGACAAUACAAAGGGCAGCGAAACCGCGAGGUCAAGCAAAUCCCAUAAAGUUGUUCUCAGUUCGGAUUGUAGUCUGCAACUCGACUACAUGAAGCUGGAAUCGCUAGUAAUCGUAGAUCAGCA
rnacentral:rRNA from 1 species